rnacentral:tRNA from 3 species
GUGUUCGUAGCUCAGCUGGAUAGAGCAACGGCCUUCUAAGCCGUGGGUCGGGGGUUCGAAUCCCUUCGGGCACA